GGAGGUAUUGAUCCCUUCCGUGCCGCAGCUAACGCAUUAAGCGCCCCGCCUGGGGAGUACGACCGCAAGGUUGAAACUCAAAGGAAUUGACGGGGGCCCGCACAAGCGGUGGAGCAUGUGGUUUAAUUCGACGCAACGCGAAGAACCUUACCAGGGUUUGACAUGCCGGUAGUACCGACCUGAAAGGGAAGGGAGCCCGCAAGGGAAGCCGGCACAGGUGGUGCAUGGCUGUCGUCAGCUCGUGUCGUGAGAUGUUGGGUUAAGUCCCGCAACGAGCGCAACCCUCACCCUCUGUUGCCAUCGGGUUAUGCCGGGCACUCUGAGGGAACUGCCCCGGUCAACGGGGAGGAAGGCGGGGACGACGUCAAGUCAUCAUGCCCCUUACGCCCUGGGCUACACACGUGCUACAAUGGCCGGUACAGAGGGCUGCAAACCCGCGAGGGGGAGCUAAUCCCAUAAAGCCGGUCUAAGUUCGGAUUGCAGGCUGCAACUCGCCUGCAUGAAGGAGGAAUCGCUAGUAAUCGCGCAUCAGCACGGCGCGGUGAAUACGUUCCCGGGCCUUGUACACACCGCCCGUCACACCACGAAAGCUGGCUGUACUCAAAGUCGCUGGGCUAACCCGCAAGGGAGGUAAGCGCCAAAGGUAUGGUCGGUGAUUGGGGUGAAGUCGUAACAAGGUAGCCG
rnacentral:rRNA from 1 species